GGUUUCAGUUGAACUGUAAUACUCGGUUUCCUAAACCUGGUGUCGCAAGUUCGAAUCUUGCCGAGGCCG
rnacentral:tRNA from 2 species